GAAUGAAACUCUGGUUGUUUGUUAUCCUGUGAAGAGUGUAGGUUCACAUGUUGAAGACUUAUCUACACUACUAUUAAACAAGAGAACAUCGUCAGGGGCGGACGAAAACUCUGUCAUCCGGCGUCCCACACCGCGCCUGUUCACGGCUAAAAUUACGGGCCUGCUCCCCAGUCCCCGCAUCUUCUCCUGGAAAAAAAAAGGAAGUACUACGCGCCUGUAGCCCGCAUCUCUCGCGAAGUCCGCCCAACCCGCCGCCGCCGCCGCCCCGCCCGGUGCAUGCCAUCCCCGCCGCUCCUCCUACACGCCGCCGCCGCACACCUCUAGACGCCGGGCCGUGUAUCGCGGGUCAUCGUCUGCUCCUCCUCUGCGGUCUCGCCUCAUAGCUCUGUUAGACUUGGGGGAGGAGGCGUCGAUAUGAGUCGCGAGCGAGCUCAUGGAGCGGCCAGCCGGCUAGGCGGUGUCUACCUAGCCCUGGGAACACGUCGAACCACAGCAAGGGGCAGGGGAGGCUUGACAUAACCGAGUUCGUCGGUCAUGGCGGCAAACAGAGCCGGAGCUUGCGGAGCGGCGGUUACAGGUCGAGGAUGAAGACUAAGAGAGAGGGGAAAGGAGGCAGGGAUAACCACGAGGAGGUUCGUGCUUUCGGCACGACUGGAGAAGGCAGGAGCACAAUUAAUCGACGACGGCGGCUUACGGAUGGUGUCAGAGAAGACGACGUCGCGUGCUCUGUGCAGGGCGUCGCAACUCGAUUCGUUCGGCGUGGAGGAUCAAGAGGGCGUGGAGGCUCUCUCAGAUGCUACGGCUUGUCAGGGAUAAACCGCUGGCCAUGGCGCGUGGCGAAGAGGGAGUUCGAUGAUGAGCGGAGGGCGCACCAGAUUGAGGCAGCCCUUUCAGUUGAGCUGAGUCCUGGUAUCCUUGGAAACAUUUUUGAUGAAAUCCAGAUCUGAAGACGAUGCACCCUGGUAAUUUAAGCCAAAAAAGCUGGGUAAUGCGUUUGGCAUAUUUUAACUGUGAAUGAGGGACAUCUUGUUAAUCGUUAGCAGGCCCUCUAAAACAUCUCCUUUUUAUUAUUUGCUUUAGCUGUUGGAGAUGUUCUCACCGGUGAAGAUCUAUAUGCUGUAAGUCUUAUGAUGUUGAAUUUUCUUUUAUGGAUAUUACUGUACAAAAUGAUGGCAGCUUUGGGCCUGCACCCACAUGCUAAUGUUCGCUGACUCUAUGAUAGACUGUCUUUGAGAACAAUUUGACGAACCACCAUGUAUAUAGCGAAUAAGUUUCUUUACAAGUUGUUAAUCCAAUUUUUAUCUCUGAUCUAUUUACUAAUACUGUUAAAAAAAUGUUUGUUUGGAUGCAAUAUGUUCUGAAAAGACCCUUGGCCAUUACUCAUUAGGUUUUGUCUCCACUCCUAUUUCACUGUAUGAUGAAAUAAUUAUGGAUGUUUCUUGCAAAUACUUGGUCAUUAGGUGUCAUAGUUGUUAAUUUAGUGUUUGGAAGUAACCAGGGAUACUAAAAUUAUCAUUAGGUGUUGUUUCCAUUCUUUAUUGAUCAUAUGGGGAAAUCUAUCUGACUUUUUCUUAUUUCUGAAAGUUUAUGAUGAUUUUGGGCAUACCAAGCUUAAAGAAGAUAUCUCACAAGUAAGUUUGAUAUACUCUGGAUACAUCUUGAUAUGUAUGAUAUCCUCACUGCUUUUAGGGUGACACUGUGAACUUGGGCUUUUUGGAUGGAAAAAAAGUUGAUCCAAACCGACACCAUGUAUUCUUAUGGAUUUAUGCUUUGUCAGUGUAAUCUCCAAUUUCAUUCACAUGUAUACCAUUACUCUUCUCAUGGUCUUGCAGAUGCAUCGUGUCUAGCUUUUUAGCCUUACAAAUUAGAGGUUUUGAUUGAUACAUGCAUAUUAUUGGAAUAUUUGGUGCUUUGAAAAGACUAUGGGUGGAGUCAACAAACUGACUGAAUGUAUGAAAGAAAUCCAAGACUCUUUGUCAGCUUCUCUUGGAGCUUCUGCUAAUUUCAACAAGGUAAUAUUUAAGAUUUAUUACAAUCUUGUAUUUAAUUAUUUUAUCUGAAUCACUUACAUCUAUACUAUUACACACAAAAAACUUGCAUGAUUAAACAGAGGAGGAACUUAAAGAAUUGGAGUGAGCAGUGUGUGUCUGUUAGAUCGAUCUGUAAAUCUUAGUCUACUUGCUGAUUUCAUAGGACUAAUUCACUGGUGCACGGUGAAUGCUCUAGCAUACACAGGUGGAUUUUCCCAUAUAAUUGUAAUAUUAGUCAAGACGUGCAUUGCACGUGCACGCUUACUAGUGCUAUGAAAUUGAAGAAACAACGGCGAACGCAGGUUGGUAUUUAGGGAUCAGAAUUUAUGGGCUUCCGUUGUAUCUUUGGACUUGAAAAGCAAUAGAUCUCAUAUUGGAGCCAUGCUGCAUUAUUGAAGACGUUGAUUGGUCCAACCUUAGCUUCCAUUACAUUCGGCUCGGUAAAUUGCACGGCUUGGGCUGUUAACGGGUUGUUAACCUUAGCUCCCAGGACUAAGGUGUGCCACUGUUCCUACUAAUUUGUAAUUUUGUAUCCUCUCUCUAUCCCACUCCUUUUUUUUGCGAAUACUCUAUCCCACUCCUUUCUUCUGAGUUAAUCCCUUGGAACCUCUCAUCAUUGUUUGUGUAGAUUCUUUUUUAUCUAUAAUACCUACAAGGUGUUCGCAUGAAAA